rnacentral:rRNA from 1 species
GGCUCUCGGAGGUGGCUUGUCGCUMGCCAGCCCCGGCCGGGCCCGGGAGGCGCGUCCCCAGAUUCUCCAGCUUGUCCUUUCCCCUCCCGGCGUUAACAACUUCAACCCUAUCUGCGUACCUAUCCAUGUUGCUUUCCCGGGAGCAGCGGUCUGACCGCCCGUCGGCUGCCCCUGAGUCUCCCGGGAGAGGUCCCGAUCCAACCACGCUGUCCACCCCGCCUCCGUCUGACGGCCCACGCGCCACCAAAGCGAAACAAGCAACGAAUCGAAAAACUUUCAACAACGGAUCUCUUGGUUCUCGCAUCGAUGAAGAACGCAGCGAAAUGCGAUAAGUAAUGUGAAUUGCAGAAUUCAGUGAAUCAUCGAAUCUUUGAACGCACAUUCCGCCCCCCUGGCAUUCCGGGGGGCAUGCCUGUUCGAGCGUCUCAAAGACGCUCUCACAAACACUGUGGUCAUGGCGGCGGUGGCAGGCCCGAGAUGGCAGCCACCCCGCCGGAAUACAUAGGCGGGCGCCUGCCGUGAGCCUGAGCGUAGCAUGAAAAGGACCCGCGGACUCACCGGGUCGUCAGCCCAGCCUUGGCCCCUCACCGGGCGAGAAGACAACGACGCACUCCUCGAAUCAGGUAGGGAUACCCGCUGAACUUAAGCAUAUCAAUAAGCGGAGGGAAAAGAAACCAACAGGAU